rnacentral:rRNA from 1 species
GACGAACGCUGGCGGCGUGCUUAACACAUGCAAGUCGAACGGAAAGGCCCUGCUUUUGUGGGGUGCUCGAGUGGCGAACGGGUGAGUAACACGUGAGUAACCUGCCCUUGACUUUGGGAUAACUACAGGAAACUGGGGCUAAUACCGGAUAGGAGCUCCUGCUGCAUGGUGGGGGUUGGAAAGUUUCGGCGGUUGGGGAUGGACUCGCGGCUUAUCAGCUUGUUGGUGGGGUAGUGGCUUACCAAGGCUUUGACGGGUAGCCGGCCUGAGAGGGUGACCGGCCACAUUGGGACUGAGAUACGGCCCAGACUGCUACGGGAGGCAGGAGUGGGGAAUAGUGCACAAUGGGCGGAAGCCUGAUGCAGCAACGCCGCGUGCGGGAUGACUGCCGUCGGGUUGUAAACCGCUUGCGCCUGUGACGAAGCGUGAGUGACGGUAAUGGGUAAAGAAGCACCGGCUAACUACGUG